rnacentral:lncRNA from 1 species
GUAAGUACAAUUUCGGCUAAUUUUAAGAAAGAAAGAGUACAUUCCUUUUAUGGACCAUGGGGCUGAAGUCUGGAGAAGCAUGCAUUUGAAUUUGAUGGCUGUAUAAAAGCAAGAAGGAGGCCCAGCUUCUCCAGCCUCUGUGUGCCUCAGAGGGUCACAGGUCACAACAGAAGAGUGUUUAUUUCAUACCAGCUUACAUAAUAACCGCACUUAUCAUUAUGGUAAAAAGCCAAUUACUAAGCAUCUGCUAUGUCCUAGGCCCUCUGCCAGGAAAGGGAGAAGACAUAAACUCUGUCACGUGAGAUUUUAUAAUCUUGUUGGGGAGACAGGACUUUAGCUAUGGAAAUCGUUCAUAGCGGAAAAGUUUGACGGUGAUAUACUGCCAUCUUCAUUUCUGUCCGUCAGAAAUCGAGAGCUAGCUAUGUUAUAUAAAAAGCCCCUCCAUGCUAAUGUGAGAAAAUGAUUUUCACAUCUGAUUUGCAAGUAGGGAAGGGUGGGAAUUGCUGAAUAAUAAUAGCACUUAUCAUCGAUUACGUGCCAACUAUGAUUCCAUGCUCUAUAGAGGUUCUCUCUAAACUUCAUAUAGACCCUGCAGAAACGGGCAUUAGUAUUUUCAUUUUUCAGAGGAAGAAAGUGAGGUUGUGCAGAAGUUGGUGAUUGAGUCAGGAAUCAAACCCAAGCACAGGUUCUUUGAGCCUCUGAGCUCUAAUGCUUUGUAAUCCUAAUGAAGGGAAAUGGAGAUGGGAAGGGGGUGGGGAAAAUCUUUAAAUUCUUCUUUUUUUCUUCCUGCAAUACUUUAAAAAGAGAGACGGCACAAAAGAAGAAUGCGCGUUCUAUAUGCACGAUUCUUUGCAGCCCUCUGACGAAGUACCUCAAAAGCUAAGCUCCCAUCAAUCCUGGAGAGAUAGGAUCGGCAGAGCACAGUGGUGGGAUGAAUGUUUUAAAAGGAACAGCAGCGACCAAAGAACUUUUUUAUGCAGAGAAAUCCCAAAUCUGGGGCAAAGACCUCCUGUUCAUUUUAUCUCACAAAAGGUAGCCAAAAAACGUAAAACAUCAGAUUGCAUUAGAUGACUACAGAGAAAAAACACAGGAUGCAAGUUUCCGCAAAGUAUCUGGCAUCCUUUGGCAUAUUCAAAGUAAAGUUUGAAGAAGGAGAAAUUUAAACAAUUGCCUGAGACACAGGGAUGGGAACCACUUGCAAGUAUGGAAGAACCCCGUUGGUAGGCCUGGACUGUUAACUGGAUGAGAAGUAAACUUCUAGCUUGUUAAGCAAGGAAACAAACAAGAAAAACAUAAAUAAAG